rnacentral:rRNA from 1 species
CACGUAGGGCGCAAGCGUUGUCCGGAAUUAUUGGGCGUAAAGAGCUCGUAGGCGGACUGUCACGUCUGCUGUGAAAAGCUGGGGCUUAACCCUGGCCUUGCAGUGGAUACGGGCAGACUAGAGGUAGGUAGGGGAGAAUGGAAUUCCCGGUGUAGCGGUGAAAUGCGCAGAUAUCGGGAGGAACACCGGUGGCGAAGGCAGUUCUCUGGGCCUUACCUGACGCUGAGGAGCGAAAGCGUGGGGAGCGAACAGG